GCUUCGUUAAUUUGCUUAUUGCCCCAUGUGUUUUUCUUUGAAACAAACUUGCUUUGGCGGUGGGCCCAGCCUGCCGCCAGAGGUCUAAACUUACAACCAAUUUUUUAUCAACUUGUCACACCAGAUUAUUACUUAAUAGUCAAAACUUUCAACAACGGAUCUCUUGGUUCUCGCAUCGAUGAAGAACGCAGCGAAAUGCGAUACGUAAUAUGAAUUGCAGAUAUUCGUGAAUCAUCGAAUCUUUGAACGCACAUUGCGCCCUCUGGUAUUCCGGAGGGCAUGCCUGUUUGAGCGUCGUUUCUCCCUCAAACCGCUGGGUUUGGUGUUGAGCAAUACGACUUGGGUUUGCUUGAAAGACGGUAGUGGUAAGGCGGGAUCGCUUUGACAAUGGCUUAGGUCUAACCAAAAACAUUGCUUGCGGCGGUAACGUCCACCACGUAUAUCUUCAAACUUUGACCUCAAAUCAGGUAGGACUACCCGCUGAACUUAAGCAUAUCAAUAAGCGGAGGAA
rnacentral:rRNA from 1 species